GAUGAACGCUGGCGGCGUGCUUAACACAUGCAAGUCGAACGGAAAGACCCUGCUUUUGUGUGGUGCUUGAGUGGCGAACGGGUGAGUAACACGUGAGUAACCUGCCCUUGACUUUGGGAUAACUUCAGGGAACUGGGGCUCAUAUACGAUAGGAGCUCCUGCUGCGUGGUGGGGGAUGGAAAGUUUCGGCGGUGGGGGAUGGACUCGCGGCGUAGGAGCUUGUUGGUGGGGUAGGGGGUUACCAAGUCUUUGACGGGUAGCCGGCCGGAGAGAGUGACCGGCCACCUGGGAGCUUGGACACGCACAUUACGCCUAAGGGAGGGACCAGUGUGGUACGUGCGGCAACAGGCGGAAACAUGACACAGUGAGCCCGCGUCUGAUGCGAAGACGUCGGGUGCGGAAUGACCGCCUUUGGGGUGUGAACCGCUUUCGCCUGAGACGAAGCGUGAGUGACGGUACUGGAUAAAGAAGCACCGGCUAACUACGUG
rnacentral:rRNA from 1 species